rnacentral:rRNA from 1 species
GACAGAGGUGCCAAGCGUUAGGCGGAAUCACUGGGCUUAAAGCGUGUGUAGGCGGGUGCCUAAGUACCUUGUGAAAUCCCACGGCUCAACCGUGGAACGGCUGGGUAUACUGGGUGCCUUGGGUCAUCCAGGGGCUGCCGGAACAAAUGGUGGAGCGGUGAAAUGCGUAGAUAUCAGGAGGAACACCGGUGGUGUAGACGGCUCUCUGGACCGUAACUGACGCUGAGGCACGAAAGCGUGGGUAGCAAACAGG